rnacentral:sRNA from 2 species
GGUAGCCAUUUGCUGGGCGAAGGAAUUUUUGUUUGCUGGAGAAAAAUACCAAUAAGCAUUCAGCUUCUCCAUACUAGUAAUAAUGGCCUGCGAGACUGCAGAUUGAGCAGCUCAAUUCAACAGCAAACAGUAAGCUCUCAAUGCCCGGAUAGGCGAUUACUUAGACCGAAACGCAUGAGGGCACACCAAGAUAAUAUAUCUACAUAACUGCAUUCAAGGCAAUAUCGUGACUGGAUGAAAAGAAUGUGAUGGCUUCAUGAAAUCUGGAGUUGGGCAGGGUAACCGACUGGCAUCUAUUCAAGGGCUUCCCGAAAUCUGCUAUACAGUUGGAAGAACUUCAUGUGUGAAAAUGCGGUGCAUCCCUAGGGCUGUCAGGUCUAAAACUUAUAUCUGCCUGAGGAUGCGUUAAUAUACUGGGUAGAUAGAAUCGCCGGGAGUAGGUAGCCCACCAAUCUGGGAUUGAUCGGUGUAUUGAAU